AGUGAACGCUGGCGGCAGGCCUAACACAUGCAAGUCGAACGGCAGCACAGUGGAGCUUGCUCCAUGGGUGGCGAGUGGCGGGCGGGUGAGGAAUACAUCGGAAUCUACCUUUUCGUGGGGGAUAACGUAGGGAAACUUACGCUAAUACCGCAUACGACCUACGGGUGAAAGUGGGGGACCGCAAGGCCUCACGCGAUUAGAUGAGCCGAUGUCCGAUUAGCUAGUUGGCGGGGUAAUGGCCCACCAAGGCGACGAUCGGUAGCUGGUCUGAGAGGAUGAGCAGCCACACUGGAACUGAGACACGGUCCAGACUCCUACGGGAGGCAGCAGUGGGGAAUAUUGGACAAUGGGCGGAAGCCUGAUCCAGCCAUACCGCGUGGGUGAAGAAGGCCUUCGGGUUGUAAAGCCCUUUUGUUGGGAAAGAAAUCCUGUCGAUUAAUACUCGGUGGGGAUGACGGUACCCAAAGAAUAAGCACCGGCUAACUUCGUGCCAGCAGCCGCAGUAAUAC
rnacentral:rRNA from 1 species